rnacentral:rRNA from 1 species
AUGCGUCUGAAUUCAUCCGAAGGUAGUCCAGAAGAGAAAGCAAAAACAGCUGAAUUCGCAAACUGGAUACUAAACAUAGGCGAUGGCACAACGUCAACAAUAGAUGAAGAGGAUUGGGUUAGCAUCCCAGAGGACCUUAUUUUACAUGAAGGGGAUGACCCGAAAGCAUCUAUUGUUAACACCACCUAUCCUGACUUACACAGAAAAUACACUGAUAGAACAUACCUUGAGGAAAGAGCGAUCUUGUGCCCAUGA